GGAUUGGCGUAUCGGUCGUGCCUCACGGGGUAUGAACUGGUGCAGUCAAUUUCUCACCUUCUGGAGAACCGCGAUGUCCUUAAUUGGAUGCCGUGGGGAACCAGGACCUUUACUUUUUGAAAAAUUAGAGUGUUUAAAGCAGGCAUUUUGCUUGAAUACAUUAGCAUGGAAUAAUAAAAUAGGACGGCAUGGUUCUAUUUUGUUGGUUUCUAGGACCACCGU
rnacentral:rRNA from 1 species